UUGUACAUCAAUCUGUCUUUAGGCAGGGAUAAAUUACUCUUAAAAAAAAAGAAUCCUAAUUAGUUUUCCCUUCGAGUCAAGCAUCUUGU
rnacentral:pre_miRNA from 1 species